rnacentral:lncRNA from 1 species
GCAAUAUGAUAAUGUUGCAUACUUGCAUUACCAAAAACCAGCCACUAUGCACAACCAAUACUAAGCAACAUAGACUACUCCAUUAGUAAAUGCUGAUUCACAGCCAUAACCAUGUAGAAAACAAGGCUUUUAGCAGCUACAUCAUGAAAAUAUAUCCUGUCCUUAUAGAAGUGUAGUGACCCUGGCAGAGGGUAAUCUAGCAAGUAUCAACUUCAAGUUUAAUAAGAGAGUAGUUUAUUUUGCAGUUUGUUACUUCAAUGAUGAACACUUUCACUUGCAUAACAAUUCACAUAUUCAGGACCCAAAGUUCACC